rnacentral:rRNA from 1 species
AUUGAACGCUGGCGGCAUGCCUUACACAUGCAAGUCGAACGGUAACGCGGGGCAACCUGGCGACGAGUGGCGAACGGGUGAGUAAUGCAUCGGAACGUGCCCAGUAGUGGGGGAUAGCCCGGCGAAAGCCGGAUUAAUACCGCAUACGACCUACGGGUGAAAGCGGGGGACCGUAAGGCCUCGCGCUAUUGGAGCGGCCGAUGUCAGAUUAGGUUGUUGGUGGGGUAAAGGCCUACCAAGCCGACGAUCUGUAGCUGGUCUGAGAGGACGACCAGCCACACUGGGACUGAGACACGACCCAGACUCCUACGGGAGGCAGCAGUGGGGAAUUUUGGACAAUGGGGGCAACCCUGAUCCAGCCAUGCCGCGUGCGGGAAGAAGGCCUUCGGGUUGUAAACCGCUUUUGUCAGGGAAGAAACGCUCUGGGCUAAUACCCCGGGGUAAUGACGGUACCUGAAGAAUAAGCACCGGCUAACUACGUGCCAGCCGCCGCAGUAACAC